UACGAAGGGGGCUAGCGUUGUUCGGAAUUACUGGGCGUAAAGCGCACGUAGGCGGACAUUUAAGUCAGGGGUGAAAUCCCGGGGCUCAACCCCGGAACUGCCUUUGAUACUGUCGAUCUGGAGUAUGGAAGAGGUGAGUGGAAUUCCGAGUGUAGAGGUGAAAUUCGUAGAUAUUCGGAGGAACACCAGUGGCGAAGGCGGCUCACUGGUCCAUUACUGACGCUGAGGUGCGAAAGCGUGGGGAGCAAACAGG
rnacentral:rRNA from 1 species